GAAAGAUAAGAUUAUUGGAAACCCAAGGCAAAACACUCUUGAAAAAUGGCUUUGUACAAUAAACAAGAAAGACAGCCUCACACAGAGGAGAGGCUGUGCACUGAGGAUGACAGCCGUUCCCAUGACAACGCCAAAAACCUUUCACCAUUGGGUAUCAACAGGAGAACAUCUCCCACAGCAAGUGCACGAAGCCAGGAGCCUGCUUAGUCCUCGUCUCAUAAAUCAUCCUGAUGGACAGCCCUGAUCAGCACUGCCAGUUGUGCACGUGCAGCUCGCCUCCCAGGCACCGCCUGCCUUUGGAUGAAAGGAAGACCAAAUAAACUUAAAGUUCCAGAGCUGGCUGUAUGCAAAAGGAAAAUUAAGCUCUGCUAGUGGUACGAGGUUUCCUUCUGUUCUCUAGCUGAGGAAUUGCAAUUUUUAAUGAUGUAAAAACAAGCAAAAAAACAGGACAUCUUAAAACCGUUUAAGAGAACCACUGAAGAAAUCAUGUGAUUUUGCUCAGCUGCAGAGAAAUCUCUCACUGACUCCGGAUGUAGAGACAAGGGCAGCCUGGGAGAAUUUUGCUGUAGUUCAUGCUGAUCCUGUAGUGUUUGGGUUCUGAUUCAACCACUUUCCUUCUGUGUUUGAAAGAUGAGGAAGUUUUUCUCAAGUCCUCUCCAGCCACAACAUUGGUUGCUUGGUGACGGUGUUGAUACUGCAAGUGUAGGUGUAGAGGUGAGAAGGAGAGGGGAUUCUGACCCAGCAAUUAUUCUGUUCUGUAAAUGCCUACUGCAGCUUCAAACCACAAGAAGAAAAAUCAGCAAGAGGAUGAUUUUUUCUUGUACGUUUGUUUGUUUUGUUUCUUUGUCUUAAAUGCUGUUUUCCCCAUUUCAAGCUGGGUGCAAUGCAUUCACUUCUAAAGCUGUUCCAUACGUUCUGUGAGUCACCAUCUUUUAAUAUCCACAUGGAUCUGCAGGGCCUUCAGGCUUCUGCUCAUGGUGCUACAGUUCUCACAUCCCGUGGGGCAUGUCCACAAGUCACCAUGAUAUUAUAGGACCUGGACACACACUCAGGGUGGGAUGUGCUUUGCUGCAUCUUGUAAACAUCAUGGAGAGAUAGUGGAAAGGGAGAAAGCUGGAACCGUGGUGGAAUUUGUGCACAUCUGCUUACAAACAUCACAAUGUUGCCUUUUUUCAUGAGUUCAGGCACAGCAUCUGACCCCACACUCCCUGAAGUAAUAAGUUCCACAACUGGCCCAUGCUGGAAAUAGGGCACAAUUUCCCUUCCAGCAUUCCCUCAUCCUCAGGCUGCGGGGCUGACUCUGUGCUGAGAUCUGUGCAGAGUUCAGCAAGGCUCUGUUUCUGCACACUGGUGUUUUGCUGCUACUGUUCUUGUUUUAUUUGAGGUUUGCCACUGCUGUUCUGUACCAAUAGCUGCAUGUUACUGGGAGGAUGCUGUAGUCAGAUUACAGCUCUAAUGGGCUUUAACCUUCCUCUGCUCCCACACCAAUCCUCAGACUUAUGAACCAGCU
rnacentral:lncRNA from 1 species